CCGGGCUUCCCGUUGAUCAGAUGAUGGCAUUGUUGGUAUCAUAGGGUAUGAGGUGAAAAUGAUUCCACGUAUAGUGUAACUGGGUGCUGGUUGUCCUGAUCAAGAAUAAAGCUCAUAGAUAGAAUCAGCUUUGUGAAAUUUUAAAUAAAGCUCAGGGACUCGACAAGAUCUUAACAGUUUUGUCCCUGUGUAGAGAAAUACACUUAUAUAUACCUAUCUGGGGUGGAGAUAGUAUAUAACAUCUGGAUUUGGCCAAAUCCAGUAGCUUUGGUUUAAACCUUUUCAACUUGUUAAAUCACCACUACAUAUGUACAAAAAGUAAAUUUUUGUUCUUCUUUUGUACACUACCGAAAUAAAAAAGAGGCCAACUUGUUUGGAACUAAGUUGUGGUUGUAUUUACUGAAAUUUUGUUGCAUUUUGCUUCAAUUUCACAUUGAAAUGAAAGGGCCAAUCAGUUUAUUUGAUUGGCAACAACAUGAAUAUUUCCAUUGAACUAAAUCAUCAAUAAGUAAUAAUUUCCCAAAAGGACUACGUUCGUUUCAUUUCUAUAUAUAGGUGCAUGUAAUGUAAAGAACAGCAGAAGAAAGGUGUAAUUGAGGAAACCUUCUGCUAGCUAAGAUCGUUAACUAAGAUUGAAAAAUUCAACUAAGAAGAGGAAUCUAGAAAGGUGAAGGAAGAUUUUUAAAGGGAAAAUUUGAAUGUGGAAGAAGACUACUUGAAUUUGCUUUGUAUUGGAU
rnacentral:lncRNA from 1 species